UUCAUGUCAGCUGUUCAAUGUCUGACUCAGUCUCACAGAAAACGCUCACGCUGACAAAAAGAAGACCUUCCUCUUGUAAAGCACUAAAAGGUGGUGUUCGGACUAAAUGGAGGAAAGGCACGCCUGGUUGUGGAUGGGCUAAGGGCCCAGGAAGGCAGUUUGCCUGGAAAUUCUACCAUCAGCCCCAGAGAACAGGUUUACCUGGGGUUGCCGCUAUCAAGAAAGCCAAAGAGCCUACCCCAGCACAGUUUUGUGGGGUGCCUGAGAGAUUUCCAGUUGAACUCGAAACCCCUGGAUUCUCCUUCUGCGAGGUUUGGGGUAUCUCCCUGCUUGGGUGGCUCUUUAGAGAAAGGCAUUUAUUUCUCCCAAGGAGGAGGCCAUGUGAUCCUAGCCAAUUCUGUGUCCUUGGGGCCAGAGCUUAAGCUCACUUUCAGCAUUCGCCCACGGAGUCUCACUGGGGUCUUAAUACACGUCGGAAGUCAAUCUGGACAGCGCUUAAGUGUGUACAUGGAGGCAGGAAAGGUCACAACCUCUGUGAGCAGUGAUGCAGGAGGAAGUGUGACAUCAAUUACACCGAAGCAGUCUCUGUGUGAUGGACAGUGGCACUCGGUGGCAG
rnacentral:lncRNA from 1 species